rnacentral:lncRNA from 1 species
GGCUUCGUCCGCAUGCGGCAGGGCCCCUCCACGGAGGUCCCAGGGCGCGCUCCCCGGCCUCGAGGCCCGGCCGCCAGCCGCGCGGACCCCAGCCUACGCCCCGAGGGAGGCCAGGACCCCUAGCCGGCGGGACUGCGCGCCCGAGCCGAGGAAGCCCCGGCCUCGCGCGCUGGGAUGUAGCGAACCAGCAGGGGCCGAAGAACCGUGCAGUGCCAGAGCCAGAGCUGGAUCCGGGGCCCCAGCCGGAGCCGAAACCUGAGCCAGAGUCCGCGGCGGGCGAGCCCGGAGCCGACGAGCCGCAGACGCAGCGCUGCCCAGGUGGGGGAGAAGUGGGCAGGAGAGAGGGCCGCCCGCUGCUCCCCGCUGCGUCCAGGGAUGGAGGGCCCCACCACCCAUGGAAUUGCUGGCCCCUCUGCGUGGCCCGGGACUUCAGCCGUGGCUUCGCGUCAAGAGGGUAUUUUUCCUAAACGAAACCGGGCAGCAAUGCCGCAGAAAAGCAGCAGACGUCGGUCCGCGCCCUGGCUCUCUUCGCCCCGGACCCCGACGUCCCGCCGCAGCGCUCGGAGGUGCCCCCAGCCCAAGGCAGCCUGCUCUCGCCGGCACAGGUCGGGCUUUUUCUUCCCAGGAGAGAAACCCCAAUUCCCUUCGUAACGUCCAAUAAAGACAUUCCCGCGGCUU